AUCAUUACCGAGAGAGGGGCCUCGCGCUCCCGGGGGCUUCGGCCCCCAACUCUUCACCCUGUGUGUACCUACGUUGUUGCUUUGGCGGACCUCGGGGGUCACCCCCGCGCCGGCUGGUUCGGCGAGCGUCCGUCAGAGGCCCCAUUAUAUUCUGUUUAUCAGUGUCGUCCGAGUACCAUAUAUAAUAAAUAAAAACUUUCAACAACGGAUCUCUUGGUUCCAGCAUCGAUGAAGAACGCAGCGAAAUGCGAUAAGUAAUGUGAAUUGCAGAAUUCAGUGAAUCAUCGAAUCUUUGAACGCACAUUGCGCCCCUCGGUAUUCCGGGGGGCAUGCCUGUUCGAGCGUCAUUACACCCCUCAAGCCUCGCUUGGUAUUGGGCCCUCGCCCCCGCGGCGUGCCCGAAAAGCAGUGGCGGUCCGGCGUGACUUCAAGCGUAGUAAACACUAUCCCGCUUUGAAAGUUCGCGUCGUGUCCGGCCAGACAACCCCAUAAUGCUUCAAUAAUUGAC
rnacentral:rRNA from 1 species